UGUUAAAAAUUUCACUUAUUUGUCCUGUUAAAAACUGGCAUGCUUGACGGAAUAACCAAAUAGUGACGUCAUGUUAAUGUAUAGAGAUGAUUUUUAAUAGUAGAAAUGAAUAAAAUUUUUAAUA
rnacentral:pre_miRNA from 1 species